UACAGAGGGUGCGAGCGUUGUUCGGAAUUAUUGGGCGUAAAGCGCUUGUAGGCGGCACGUCAAGUCGCGUGUGAAAUCCCCAGGCUUAACCUGGGAAGUGCGCGCGAAACUGACGAGCUUGAGUGCCGGAGAGGGUCGCGGAAUUCCCGGUGUAGAGGUGAAAUUCGUAGAUAUCGGGAGGAACACCAGUGGCGAAGGCGGCGACCUGGACGGACACUGACGCUGAGACGCGAAAGCGUGGGGAGCAAACAGG
rnacentral:rRNA from 2 species